UAUUUGCUCCUGCCUUAUUAGUAUUAAUAUUUUAAGAGAUCUGGGGCUAUUCAUUUGUUCUUUGCUACCAUUGCACACCUCACAACUCUUAAAGCAACAGAAGGCUUCAGGCAAGAGCAGCAGGGAACAACAGAGGGAGGCAGUAGGUACAUAAAAUGGAGGCAGAGACAACAUGGCUGAAAUUUAAGAUCUAUGGAUGUGGAAAGGAUGUAAAUGAGCUUCUUCAUCCUCUACUGCCCACAGCAGCCUUGCAAGCUGUCCAAAAGCUGCUCCUGAGGACUCUCAGGAAUGAGAAAUUUCUGGAGAAAACUAGAAACUCACUGCACAAUCAAAUAUAUCAGUGUGGGAAAGUCCAGCCUAGUAUUUAUACAGCUUUCUAACUUCGGCAGAUCCUGCCAAGUUGGUUGCUGCUACUGAAAAAGCCUUGUCUCUAGCCCUGGAUUGCCUCAGGCAGCCAAUUGCAGAACUGCCAGCCAUCACAUUUGCAACAUUUUCCUUUGCAAACAAAUGCCACUAUAGCUGUGAGCAGUGAGGUGGAGAGUGUGAGGGACACACAUGUCCAGGCAGGACUUUUGACACACUUUGGUGCUGCAACCCUAUUCUAAUGUUUAUCUCUGACAGCUCUGAUAGCUUUUAAA